GACGAACGCUGGCGGCGUGCUUAACACAUGCAAGUCGAACGGAAAGGCCCUGCUUUUGUGGUGUGCUCGAGUGGCGAACGGGUGCGUAACACGUGAGUAACCUGCCCUUGACUUUGGGAUAACUUCAGGAAACUGGGGCUAAUACCGGAUAGGAGCUCCUGCUGCAUGGUGGGGGUUGGAAAGUUUCGGCGGUUGGGGAUGGACUCGCGGCUUAUCAGCUUGUUGGUGGGGUAGUGGCUUACCAAGGCUUUGACGGGUAGCCGGCCUGAGAGGGUGACCGGCCACAUUGGGACUGAGAUACGGACCAGACUCCUACGGGAGGCAGCAGUGGGGAAUAUUGCACAAUGGGCGGAAGCCUGAUGCAGCAACGCCGCGUGCGGGAUGACGGCCUUCGGGUUGUAAACCGCUUUCGCCUGUGACGAAGCGUGAGUGACGGUAAUGGGUAAAGAAGCACCGGCUAACUACGUG
rnacentral:rRNA from 1 species